rnacentral:rRNA from 1 species
CGAAUACCGGAGAAUGUUAUCACGGGAGACACACGGCGGGUGCUAACGUCCGUCGUGAAGAGGGAAACAACCCAGACCGCCAGCUAAGGUCCCAAAGUCAUGGUUAAGUGGGAAACGAUGUGGGAAGGCCCAGACAGCCAGGAUGUUGGCUUAGAAGCAGCCAUCAUUUAAAGAAAGCGUAAUAGCUCACUGGUCGAGUCGGCCUGCGCGGAAGAUGUAACGGGGCUAAACCAUGCACCGAAGCUGCGGCAGCGACGCUUAUGCGUUGUUGGGUAGGGGAGCGUUCUGUAAGCCUGUGAAGGUGUGCUGUGAGGCAUGCUGGAGGUAUCAGAAGUGCGAAUGCUGACAUAAGUAACGAUAAAGCGGGUGAAAAGCCCGCUCGCCGGAAGACCAAGGGUUCCUGUCCAACGUUAAUCGGGGCAGGGUGAGUCGACCCCUAAGGCGAGGCCGAAAGGCGUAGUCGAUGGGAAACAGGUUAAUAUUCCUGUACUUGGUGUUACUGCGAAGGGGGGACGGAGAAGGCUAUGUUGGCCGGGCGACGGUUGUCCCGGUUUAAGCGUGUAGGCUGGUUUUCCAGGCAAAUCCGGAAAAUCAAGGCUGAGGCGUGAUGACGAGGCACUACGGUGCUGAAGCAACAAAUGCCCUGCUUCCAGGAAAAGCCUCUAAGCAUCAGGUAACAUCAAAUCGUACCCCAAACCGACACAGGUGGUCAGGUAGAGAAUACCAAGGCGCUUGAGAGAACUCGGGUGAAGGAACUAGGCAAAAUGGUGCCGUAACUUCGGGAGAAGGCACGCUGAUAUGUAGGUGAAGUCCCUCGCGGAUGGAGCUGAAAUCAGUCGAAGAUACCAGCUGGCUGCAACUGUUUAUUAAAAACACAGCACUGUGCAAACACGAAAGUGGACGUAUACGGUGUGACGCCUGCCCGGUGCCGGAAGGUUAAUUGAUGGGGUUAGCGCAAGCGAAGCUCUUGAUCGAAGCCCCGGUAAACGGCGGCCGUAACUAUAACGGUCCUAAGGUAGCGAAAUUCCUUGUCGGGUAAGUUCCGACCUGCACGAAUGGCGUAAUGAUGGCCAGGCUGUCUCCACCCGAGACUCAGUGAAAUUGAACUCGCUGUGAAGAUGCAGUGUACCCGCGGCAAGACGGAAAGACCCCGUGAACCUUUACUAUAGCUUGACACUGAACAUUGAGCCUUGAUGUGUAGGAUAGGUGGGAGGCUUUGAAGUGUGGACGCCAGUCUGCAUGGAGCCGACCUUGAAAUACCACCCUUUAAUGUUUGAUGUUCUAACGUUGACCCGU